rnacentral:rRNA from 1 species
GACGAACGCUGGCGGCGUGCUUAACACAUGCAAGUCGAACGGAAAGGCCCUGCUUUUGUGGGGUGCUCGAGUGGCGAACGGGUGAUUAACCCGUGAGUAACCUGCCCUUGACUUUGGGAUAACUUCAGGAAACUGGGGCUAAUACCGGAUAGGAGCUCCUGCUGCAUGGUGGGGGUUGGAAAGUUUCGGCGGUUGGGGAUGGACUCGCGGCUUAUCAGCUUGUUGGUGGGGUAGUGGCUUACCAAGGCUUUGACGGGUAGCCGGCCUGAGAGGGUGACCGGCCACAUUGGGACUGAGAGACGGCCCAGACUCCUACGGGAGGCAGCAGUGGGGAAUAUUGCACAAUGGGCGGAAGCCUGAUGCAGCAACGCCGCGUGCGGGAUGACGGCCUUCGGGUUGUAAACCGCUGUCGCCUGUGACGAAGCGUGAGUGACGGUAAUGGGUAAAGAAGCACCGGCUAACUACGUG